rnacentral:rRNA from 1 species
CCUGAUGCAGCGACGCCGCGUGAGGGAUGACGGCCUUCGGGUUGUAAACCUCUUUCAGUAGGGAAGAAGCGUAAGUGACGGUACCUGCAUAAGAAGCGCCGGCUAACUACGUGCCAGCAGCCUCGGUAAUACGUACGGCGCAAGCGUUAUCCGGAAUUAUUGGGCGUAAAGAGCUCGUAUGCGGUUUGUCGCGUCUGCCGUGAAAGUCCGGGGCUCAACUCCCGAUCUGCGGUGGGUACGGGCAGACUAGAGUGAUGUAGGGGAGACUGGAAUUCCUGGUGUAGCGGUGAAAUGCGCAGAUAUCAAGAGGAACACCGAUGGCGAAGGCAGGUCUCUGGGCAUUAACUGACGCUGAGGAGCGAAAGCCUGGGGAGCGAACAGGAUUAUAUACCCUGGUAGUCCAUGCCCUGGACGUUGGGCACUAAGUGUGGGGGACAUUCCUCGUUUUCCGCGCCGUAGCUGACGCAUUAAGUGCCCCGCCAGGGGAGUACGGCCGCAAGGCUAAAACUCAGAGGAAUUGACGGGGGCACGCACAACCGGCGGAGCAUGCGAAUUAGUUCGAUGCUUCGCUGAUAACCUUACCAAGGCUUGACGUGAACCGUAUACACC